UUUUUUUCCCCCCUAUACCUGUGUAGAGGGGUUUUGUUGUUGUUGUUCCUACUGGAUGUUGUUCUCUUAGAAUGAGCCAGUAUUUCAAAUAUUAAACCUGCCUCCUGAAAAUAGGAUAUGCAGAAGAGAUAAGCCUCCUCAGGCCUAUUUUAUUGCCAGUUAAAGAUAAUAAUUUGUGUGUAUCCUCACAGUCCUCAGUCUUCAGAGUGCUCCCUCCUGUUUAUGAAAUUCCUCUCUUCACCGGAACUGGACUUCUCUGUGACCUCUGUGACCUUCAGUGACCAUGAAGAGCCUUGAGUACGUUAGGAGCAAAGCUGUGGAAAUUGGAGAGACGUGGAUCUGAGAGAUGGACGGGCUCGGACCCAUCCUCCCUGCAGGGAUCUCUGCUGUUCCUGGGCCAUCCAGGCUCACUGCAGGGCUGAGACAAUUCCAUCAUCCAUGGGGAGAUGCUGCACCCAGGGGAGGAGCCCGGCAUUCCCAGCUGGAUCACACCUGGGAUUGGGAACAGCAGCACAGGCUGUGUGCACAGGAUUGCCAGAGGAACACCGGAGCCAUCUCAGCACCACUGGAGCUUCUACAGGAUCAUCUCUGCUCCAACAGAACCACACCUGGCACUGCAGGAGGACUGGAUUGGGCUGCUCCCAACGCCCUGACCAACAAUGUGUCAGGCUGUAUUCUCAAAGUUGUCUGCUGGGGUUUCAGGAAUCAAGCAGUUACCAGCCUUGGGAGUUCUUUGAGUGAAUUUCUGGCUGAUUUGUGCUCUGUUUCACAGCUCAGCAGCUCACCCCUGUGAGGAACAGGUGAUGUUUGAUUUGAUUUAACACAAAGGAACUUGUCCAUUUCGGUUAUAAUGGAGCAGCGCCUUCAGUGGAUCAUGUUUUCAUGCUCAUGAGAAAAAGCUUCUCUUAUUUGGGACUCAGCAGGUUGUGGGUCCUCACCAAGGGUAUCCUGGAUCAAGUAAGAUGACUCCCUCUGAGGAGAACAGUCCCCAGGAAAGUGAAUUCCAUGGAUCACCUCUGCCAAGCCUCAGACAGCGUGUCACGAUCCGCGUUCCUCCCUCCCCUCCGCGUGUGUGCACGCUCACCCGUUUGUCGAAAGGCUUGGGGCAGCAGCCAGGGCUAUAAUUACCAUUCUGUUCAGCGCUGUGCUGCUUGUUUUCCCAGUGUACAGCAGUGGAUGUGGG